rnacentral:rRNA from 1 species
ACCCUAUUAUUAAGAAAAAUUAUAUUGUUAGUAUAUAAAUUGUAUGAAAACAAAAAAUUAUGGCGGUAUUUUAAGCUUUUCAGAGGAAUUUGCUCUUUAAUGGAUAAAACACCUAAAUCUUACUAAAUUUAGUUAAACAGUUUGUAUACCACUAUUUAAGUAAUAAUUUGCUAUUAUUACUAAAAUUUAUAUUAAUUAAAAAAAGUUAAGUCAAGGUGCAGCAUAAAUUUUAGUAUGAAGUGAAUUACAUUUCUUUUAAGAAAAUUUUGUUGAAAAUAAAAUUUAGGAUUUGAAAGUAAAAUUUUAAUAGAAGGAAAAUUUGAAUUAAGCUCUAAAAUAUGUACACAUCGCC